rnacentral:tRNA from 2 species
AGGGAUAUCGCCAAGUGGUUAAGGCACGGCACUUUGACUGCCGUAUUUUCACUGGUUCAAAUCCAGUUAUCCCUG